rnacentral:rRNA from 1 species
GACAUGAGUAACGUAAGGGGAGUGAGAGACUCCCCCGCCGAAAGACCAAGGGUUCCUGCUUAAAGUUAAUCUGAGCAGGGUUAGCCGGCCCCUAAGACGAGGCGGAAACGCGUAGUCGAUGGGAACCACGUUAAUAUUCGUGGGCCUGGAGGUAGUGACGGAUCACACAAGUUGUCCAAUCUUAUCGGAUUGAAAGGGCAGCGGAGUGGUUCCAGGAAAUAGCUCCUCCUUAUAGACCGUACCCGAAACCGACACUGGUGGUCAGGUAGAGUAUACCAAGGCGCUUGAGAGAACUAUGCUGAAGGAACUCGGCAAAUUGCACGCGUAACUUCGGAAGAAGCGUGACCCUUUUCUGCGCAAGCAGAGGAGGGUGGCACAGACCAGGGGGUAGCGACUGUUUAUCAAAAACACAGGGCUCUGCGAAGCCGCAAGGCGACGUAUAGGGUCUGACGCCUGCCCGGUGCUGGAAGGUUAA